rnacentral:lncRNA from 1 species
CCAAGGACAGGUGACAAGAAGAAAGAUCCUGGAAUGAUGGCCGAAGAGGUCAAAGACCCAGUAAACAAAUCUCAGGGAAAAGCCAAAAGCAGCACAAAGGCAAAGCUCGUGACAAACUCAACGUCCUUGCCCUUUUUAACAAAGCUAUGUAUGACAAACUGUAAGGAAGUUCCCAGCUAUAAGCUUAUUUCUUCAGCUGUGGUCUCUGAGAGACUCAAUAUCCAUGGUUCCGUGGCCAGGGCAACCUUUCAGGAGUUACUUAAUAAAGGAUGUGUCAAGCACUGAGUCCAAGUAAUCUACAGCAGAAACAGAAAGGGUGGAGAUGUCCCAGCUUCUGGUGAAGAUGCA